rnacentral:rRNA from 1 species
AUUGAACGCUGGCGGCAGGCUUAACACAUGCAAGUCGAGCGAGUGGCGGACGGGUGAGUAAUGUCUGGGAAACUGCCUGAUGGAGGGGGAUAACUACUGGAAACGGUAGCUAAUACCGCAUACCAUCAGAUGUUCCCAGAUGGGAUUAGCUUGUUGGUGGGGUAAUGGCUCACCAGGGCGACGAUCCCUAGCUGGUCUGAGAGGAUGACCAGCCACACUGGAACUGAGACACGGUCCAGACUCCUACGGGAGGCAGCAGUGGGGAAUAUUGCACAAUGGGCGCAAGCCUGAUGCAGCCAUGCCGCGUGUGUGAAGAAGGCCUUCGGGUUGUAAAGUACUUUCAGCGAGGAGGCGUUACUCGCAGAAGAAGCACCGGCUAACUCCGUGCCAGCAGCCGCGGUAAUAC